rnacentral:rRNA from 1 species
AUUGAACGCUGGCGGCAGGCCUAACACAUGCAAGUCGAACGAGUGGCGGACGGGUGAGUAAUGUCUGGGAAACUGCCCGAUGGAGGGGGAUAACUACUGGAAACGGUAGCUAAUACAGCAUACCAUCGGAUGUGCCCAGAUGGGAUUAGCUAGUAGGUGGGGUAACGGCUCACCUAGGCGACGAUACAUAGCUGGUCUGAGAGGAUGACCAGCCCACCUGGAACUAAGACACGGUCCGGACUCCUACGUGCGGCAUCGGUGGGGAUUAUUGCACAAUGGGCGCAAGCCUGAUGCAUCCAUGCCGCGUGUAGGAAGAAGGCCUUCGGGUUGUAAAGUACUUUCAGCGAGGAGGCGUUACUCGCAGAAGAAGCACCGGCUAACUCCGUGCCAGCAGCCGCGGUAAUAC